CCCAAGAGGGAUGUAGUGAGAGUAAUGUCAGUACAACACUAGUACUGGUAAGCAUCAUAGGCCGACAAUGAUUAGAAUAACAUAACAGUAAUAGAAUCCACAAAUAAACAUUGUAGGAGGUCUUAAGUCAAAUACCAUUCCUCACGUUCUAACUUAUCUAGCUUACUAAUUAGGUAGCCAUGCUCAAAUACCGUGACAUCAUGACUACUAACAGGGCUAUUUCUACUCACAGCACCGCAAGGUCAACCUACCAUUUAUCGUAUCCAUAAUUGGGUUUAAGGAUAACUCUCUCGUCAUUCUAAUAGCCAUCACUCACCCAAACCUAACAAGUCACACACAUCCAUAUUACGGUCACCUAG